UUGAAAAGAACUUUGAAGAGAGAGUUAAAUAGUACGUGAAACCGUUAUGAGGUAAACGGAGAGGCCCGGCGGGUCGCUUUGGUGCUUUCAGUUCGGCGAUUUGUGAAGACUGUUGCUGUCGGAUAUUAAUUUACUUGCAGUGAUGUGUUGACGCGAUUGCUUUGCGCAAUAGUGCCAUUGCGAACGCUACGACCGGUUCGGUGGCGACCAGAAAGCUCGUGCGCAGGUAGCUCUGCUGUCCUUUUGGGCAGUGGAGUGAUACAGUGUGUGGGAAAGAUGGCUUGCUGCUGGGCCGGGGUACCUGGCCGCGUCUGCCUUUCGGGGCGAGUGGUGCUGUCGUCGGAUUUUGAACGAGAUCUGUUCGCUGUUCUCAGUGGAUGGGACGAGUUUGAUUUCCAUUUUCCAUUCGGUGGUAUUCUGCUCUUUGGACGCUAAGGGUCUGUAGUUAUGCCGGCCAC
rnacentral:rRNA from 1 species